rnacentral:lncRNA from 1 species
GAAAGUGGAGACCAGAUGUUUGAAGCUGGGUAAAGGCAGGGAUGGAGCAGGAACCGAGGAACAAACCUUGGAACUAGGCUCUGAGAUGUAUAAAGGCACAGUGAAUUCCUGAAUCAUCCUUUGAUCUUCCACAAGACUCAGUAUCACUGAUUAACUACAAUUUGAAUAUAGUUCAUCACUGAAGGAAUGAGUGAGUGAAUGAGAAAGUGAGCAAAUGAGGCCGUGGAGGUCACUUAAAC